rnacentral:tRNA from 1 species
GUGCCCGUAGCUCAACGGACGAGAGCUUUCGUCUUCUAAACGAACGGUUGCAGGUUCGAGUCCUGCCGGGCACU